AUUGAACGCUGGCGGAAUGCUUUACACAUGCAAGUCGAACGAUGAAGCCUAGCUUGCUAGGUCGAUUAGUGGCGAACGGGUGAGUAAUAUAUCGGAACGUAUCCAAUAAUGGGGGAUAACUAGUCGAAAGAUUGGCUAAUACCGCAUACGUCCUACGGGAGAAAGCUGGGGAUCGUAAGACCUGGCGUUAAUGGAGCGGCCGAUAUCUGAUUAGCUAGUUGGUGAGGUAAAGGCUCACCAAGGCGACGAUCAGUAGCUGGUCUGAGAGGACGACCAGCCACACUGGAACUGAGACACGGUCCAGACUCCUACGGGAGGCAGCAGUGGGGAAUUUUGGACAAUGGGCGAAAGCCUGAUCAAGCCAUUCCGCGUGAGUGAAGAAGGCCUUCGGGUUGUAAAGCUCUUUCGCAAGGGAAGAACACUUACUUAAUAACACUAAGUGAGGUUGACGGUACCUUGAUAAGAAGCACCGGCUAACUACGUGCCAGCAGCCGCCGUAAUAC
rnacentral:rRNA from 1 species